rnacentral:lncRNA from 1 species
AUUCGUAUGGAUCGAUUCGAACAGAGACAAGAACGGAUUGAACAAAGACAAGAUCAAAUCCUAUCUGAGCUGCAGCAAAUUCAUAGUCAAUUUGACUCCUUGUUUAGGCACUUUAAUUUUCCACCUCAUCAAUGAACUUGUUGAACACCUGUUGUUGUUGUAAACCUCUUAUGUUACUCACUUCUGAUGUACUGGCUGUAAACAUCUAUCGUGGUAAACAUAUAUCUUGCGCCUUGUGGUAAAAGUUAUCUCAAAUUUUUAUGGUAUCAUUAUUGUUUGGUAUGUGAU